UGCAAUGAUGAUUAUCAAUAAUCUCGUUAAUCUGAUAAGAUUUUGUGAGGAAAAACUCUCUAAUCCAUUCUUUAUAGAGCGUCUGAGC